AUGUGUCUCCCAAAGGAGAAGGUUGGUAUGGGCUUUCGAGAUUUGCAUUGUUUUAGUUUGGCUCUUUUGGCAAAACAACGUUGGAGGCUCUUGUGUGAACCAGAAUCAUUAUGUGGCAGAGUAUUGAUAUCAAAAUAUUUCCCUGAUGGUGAUCUUUCAAAUAGCAGUUUGAAGAAGGGUGGAUCUUAUACUUGGCAGAGUCUUUGGAGUGGGCAUAUAUGGAGAGUAGGAGAUGGAUCCCAAAUAAACAUUUGGGAGGACCCAUGGAUUCCCAACAGCCCCACCCAUAGAGUAAUGACACCAAGUGGACAUAUCAUGUUACCAAAGUUUCUGAACUCAUCGAUAUGGACAACAAAGUGUGGGAGGAAGUGUGUGGGAAGAACAAUUGCUACCUAA
rnacentral:rRNA from 1 species